AGGCAUGUGCACACCCUGCUCAUCCACUCUACACCUGUGCACUUACUGUAGGUUGGCGUGGGCUUCGGACCUCCGGGUUCGAGGCAUUCUGCCGGCCUAUGUACACUACAAACUCCGAAGUAACAGAAUGUAAACGCGUCUAACGCAUCUUAAUACAACUUUCAGCAACGGAUCUCUUGGCUCUCGCAUCGAUGAAGAACGCAGCGAAAUGCGAUAAGUAAUGUGAAUUGCAGAAUUCAGUGAAUCAUCGAAUCUUUGAACGCACCUUGCGCUCCUUGGUAUUCCGAGGAGCAUGCCUGUUUGAGUGUCAUGGAAUUCUCAACCCAUAGAUCCUUGUGGUCUACGGGCUUGGAUUUGGAGGCUUGCCGGCCCUUACACGGGGUCGGCUCCUCUUGAAUGCAUUAGCUUGAUUCCGUGCGAAUCGGCUCUCAGUGUGAUAAUUGUCUACGCUGUGGCCGUGAAGCGUUUGGCGAGCUUCUAACCGUCCGUUAGGACAACUUCUUGACAUCUGACCUCAAAUCAGGUAG
rnacentral:rRNA from 1 species